rnacentral:rRNA from 1 species
AUGAAUUAUGAGUUUAAUAGAUCCUCUUUAGCAGAAAGACUUUUAUUCCUUGCUCAUUAUCAGACAAUCACUUAUUCCCAAGCCUCGUGUGGGACUAAUCGUUUUCAUUUACCAUCUCAUGGAAAACCCUUUUCGUUCCGCUUAGCCCUAUCGGGUAUUUUAGUGAUAGGUUCUGUAGGAACUCGACGAUCCUGUUUGGUCAAAUACCUAACAAAAAAUUACGAUUUUCGUUUCAUUAAGGUACGAGGGCUUCUUAUUCCACAAGAACGAAAGCACCUUUUCAUUCUUUCAUAUACUAGGGGUUUUUACCUGGAAAAGACAAUGUUCCAUACUAAAGGAUUUGGGUCCAUAACCAUGAGUUCAAGUGCACUAGAUCUUGUAGCACUUAGCAACGAAGCCCUAUCCAUUAGUAUUCCACAUAAGAAAUCGAUUCUAGAAAAAAAUACAAUUAGAUUAGGUCUUCAUAGACAAACUUGGGGUUUGCGAGCCAAGGUAAGAUCGGCUCGGGAUCAUGGGACCCUUUUCUAUCAGGUAGGAGGGGCUCUUGUACAAAAUAGACUCACGAAGUAAUAACCCAUAGAAUCUAUCUAUAUAAAGAUAAAGAUGCAAUCGUGUCAGGAAGCGGGUUUUUCUUUGGCCAAAAGGUACUUCGAACUUGGAACGAGCAUGAAGAGAUUAACGAGACUUCUUUCUCUUUUGAGUUUUUCUGGUGGACCUGCCGUGCAAGAUCUUUGGUCUUCCCCUGGAACCGAUGAAAAAAAGUGGAUCGCUACUUAUGUACUCGCUCAGAAUGAUUCUUCUCUAUCUAUAGUUCAUGGCCUAUUAGAAGUAGAAGGUGCUCUGGUGCAAUCCUUACCGACAGAAAAAUAUUGCAGUCAGGUUGAUAAUAGUCGAGUGACAUUACUUCAUCGGUCCGAACUAAGGAAUCUGUUAGAAAUGUUUUGA